rnacentral:rRNA from 1 species
CACGGGGGGAGCAAGCGUUGUUCGGAAUCACUGGGCGUAAAGGGCGUGUAGGCGGUUCGGUAAGUGGAAUGUGAAAUCCCUCGGCUCACCCGAGGACCGUGCAUCCCGAAACUGCCGAGCUUGAGUAUGGGAGAGGAUGAGGGAAUUCCUGGUGUAGCGGUGAAAUGCGCAGAUAUCAGGAGGAACACCAAUUGCGAAGGCAGCUCGCUGGGGACGUUACUGACACUGAGGCGCGAAAGCGUGGGGAGCGAACAGG